rnacentral:rRNA from 1 species
UACGAAGGGGGCUAGCGUUGCUCGGAAUGACUGGGCGUAAAGGGCGCGUAGGCGGUUUGUACAGUCAGGUGUGAAAUUCCCGGGCUCAACCUGGGGGCGGCACUUGGGACGUAGGAACUGGAGUGAGGAAGAGGGUCGUGGAAUUCCCAGUGUAGAGGUGAAAUUCGUAGAUAUUGGGAAGAACACCGGUGGCGAAGGCGGCGACCUGGUCCUUUUACUGACGCUGAGGCGCGAAAGCGUGGGGAGCAAACAGG